CAGUCGCCGCGGUAAUACGAGGGGGGCAAGCGUUAAUCGGAAUUACUGGGCGUAAAGCGUGCGCGUAGGUGGUUAUGUAAGUGAGAUGUGAAAUCCCCGGGCUCAACCUGGGAACUGCAUCUUAUACUGCGUAGCUGGAGUGCAGUAGAGGGUAGUGGAAUUUCCGGUGUAGCGGUGAAAUGCGUAGAUAUCGGAAGGAACACCAGUGGCGAAGGCGGCUACCUGGACUGACACUGACACUGAGGCGCGAAAGCGUGGGGAGCAAACAGGAUUAGAUACCCGUGUAGUCCCUGUCUCUUAU
rnacentral:rRNA from 1 species